AACUUGAAGAAUUCAAGGGUUUGAAGAAUCAUAGGAGCAAAAGUGAAGCAUGAGCUAAUAGUUGGUGAUAAUUAAGGUAAGUGGGUUAGUUUUUAUCAUAAUCAUUUAGUUAAUUUUUUCCUCUUGUUCUAUGCAUAAUUGAUUAUGAGAAUAAGUGAUUAUCAUGAACCCAAUCUUUGAAAUUCGUGCUUAUGUGGUAGAGAUAUGUUUGAAUAUGUUAAUUUGAUGUUAAAUGAAUUGUUGAUGAUGAAAUUGCAAGUUCAUGAUGUAUGAAAUUGGGUAGUUUGUAAAUUAUGCUCAAUUGGUGAAUUAUGCAUGGUUGUUGAUGAAUUGUGAUAUGUUUCAUGAUUAUUGGUUGUUGUUGUUUUUUAUUCAUAUUGUUGAUGAUGAUAUAUGUCUUGGGUUUGCAUGAUUCAUGAUUUGUUGUUGAGAAAUGGAUUGUUGUUGGUGGUUUUGUGAAAUUGGUGAAGUUGAGUUAAGUGUUCAUGUGAAGGACCAAAAUGAACUUUUGAUGUAUAUGGUUGUUGACUGAAAUUUUGAUGUUGUUGGAUGAAUUGAACUUAGAGAAAUUUCUGUUUUCAUGUUGUGGUUGUGUUAGUCGAGUCGUUUGGGAGAAAACGGGAUUUUCGUGUGAAAUGUCGAGGUUUAAGCGUUUUCGCCAACAAGUGAUUAUGUGAGGUUUUGGAAAAUGAUUUUUGGGAAGAUUGAAACAUGAAAUUUCUGUAGAUUAUGAUAGAGCUAAGUGUCAGGAGCGUGUAGGCGAAAACGGCGUCAAAAUCCGAUUAACGGUUUGAAUUUUAUGCGCGAAAUGGUGAAAACGGAAAAACGAAGAAAAAGCUGUGCUGUCAGACGAGCACGACCCUGCGAGUGCAUGGCACGGGCCGUGCGUACAACUCUGCUUUUUUUUGGCAAGGCCGUGCGUGUGCACGGCACGGGCUGUGCGUGCUGUUAGGACUUCGGUCUUCUGCGUUUUUGUGCUUUUUCACCCAUUUCCGUUUUGAAUUGAUUUUUGGUGUAAACAUGAAAGUUUUAGGUAAUUUUGUUAGCUUUCCAAUGGUUUUGGUUUGACGUCCAAAUGAUUUUUAGAACUUGAGUUAUGAUCAAAUUACUACACAUGGGUCAUGUGGAUUUUUGUGAAAACUUAUCAUAACUUUUUCUACGAGCCGUGAAACUUUUUCAAACUUGAUAUUGGGUCUAAUGAAGUACUUAGAGUGAAUAAUUGAGUAUGCAUUUAUGUAUUUGGGAAUGUGAAUGUGUUGAUGGUUUAAGAAAUAUUUUGGGCGGAGUUGAAUCGGUGAAAACGGGUUUUGAGCUAAAUGUCGUUUUGUCUUGGAUUUUCUCAUACGAACUUAAGCUAUCCUUUGAACUAAUUUCUAAUAGUUUGUAAGUGGCUUAAGUCCUUGGCUACAUGAUUGAUUAAGAUUGAAUUGUAGGAUUUCAAACUUGAAUAAGUUGCCUAACUUUGAAAAUUAUCAAUGUUGGCCGUUUGCCACAUGAUUUGGAUUUUUGUCGGAAAUGUUUCUUUAGCAAAUUGUCUUGUGAGUUAUUGAGAUUAUUCUUGUAUGACUAAGUGAAGUUGUAUGAAUGAAUGAUUGUAUUGGAUAUGAUGUUUAUCAUGAGAUGUGUAUGCUAUCUUACUUAGAAUGUAAGGAAUGCUUGAAUGGUGAAACUAUAUGUGAUAGUUGAUGUUGAAUGACAUUGUUGAUUAUUGAUAAUCAUUUUUAUGUGUGAUGAAUUGUAGAUGUUGAAUAUGAUAUUUUAUCAUGAGAUGUUGUUUUCCCUCUUACUUGGAAUAUGAGAAUGCUUGAAUUGGUGAAACUAUAUGUGAUAGUUGAUGUUGAAUAACAUUGUUGAUUAUUGAUGAUCAUGUUGAUGUGGUGAUGAUGAAUGCUAUGAUUUAAUUGUGUAUGGGCAUGUUUUCUUGAUAAUGCAAAUGAUGUGGAGAUGAACAAUAUAAUUGGGUGUCGUCCUAUAUAUUGUGGACAAAAUUGUGAUUGUUGUCGCAUUAUCGAGUCUUGUUACAUGUCCAUGCAUCAUAGUCGUGUGGCUGUAAAAGAGUUGAGCUCUUUUACUUCGAGAUUAUUGUAAGGCAGGUGUGAGUCCUUACAUACGAUGUGCAAGUGGCAUCGAAAGGUGACGACCUUGUUGAGAUUUGGUAUCACAUGCAUUUAUGUGUCAAUAAGUGCAUAUCAUGACAUGAGUCUUAAAUGAUGUAUGUGAUUGAUGAUUGUCCUUGAUACUUGUGAUUGAUGAUUGUACAUGAUACAUGUGAAUGAUGUUUGUUCAUGAAAUGUAAUUGGUGAAUGUUCAUGUCAUAUGCGAUUGGUGAUUAAUUGUUGUGGAGCAUUGGGGAUAGGAUAUAAGUAUUAAUAUGGGAGUAUUAGUGUUGAUCAAGUGCAUGAUGUUUAAUUUGUAAUAUUCAUGUUAACUGUUAUUUGGAUUAUGAUAAUAUAAUGCUUACCCCUAGUGGUUUCUAACCGCCUACUUGUCUGUAUGGAUGAGUAGACGUUGUGCAGGAGUAGUGCUCGGUGAGUUUAUGCUUGGUGAUAUCGGGAGCUUUCUCCGAUAUCGGUGUAGAGUCGGCUCUGAUCUAGGCUUGUUGUGUCGGUCUAGAUAAGGUUAUUUUCAUAUUUGUUUUGUCGGAGAUUAGCCGUUGUUGGGAUUUUUGAGAUGCAUCUAUGUUGAUGUAAUUUAUUUAUUCAUAACAUGUAUAUUUGAAUUUACUCUGGUUUAUAUUCUUCUGCGAUUGUUGAGGUUUAUAUACAUGUUUAUUGGUUUUUUAAUUUUGAAUGUGGCGUAGCCUCUAUUUCUUGAAUAAAUGUAUUAUUCGCAUGUUUAAUUGCUUUAAUAGAAAUAGGAGCGUUACACCAGGCACCUAAGGCCAUGCGCUAGCCGCAUGUGCUUGCCAUCCUGAGGCGCCUAGCGCCCCCUGGCAUGCACUAGGCGCUUUACCACAACAUCUAUGGGGUGCCUAGCCCCCUCUAUGGUGCGCCUGAGUGCUUCAGUGCGUUUUCUGUGCUGUUUUGCAUGUUGAUGUGUUUUCUUCAAUGUAAGAUGUAUUAGAACUUGAGAAAAAAAUUACUCCCUCUGUAAAGUCUUCUGAGGUCUCUUGAAUCUUCUUUCUUCAUCUUUCCAAGGACCACAUAAAUCUUCGGAUGUCUUGCUUUGCCUGAUUUGCUUGAUUUCUUUGUGAAUUACUUCAAGAACACCCUAAAAUUAACUCAUUUACUAAAAUUGACUGAAAAACAUGUUAUGAGUAAAGUAAGAUGACAUGUCAUCAAAGGGGUAAGAAAAUAAUAAAAUUAUUUAAAGGAUGACAAGUUAGUAAAAUUUUAUUCAAUUAUUUUGAUUAUUAUAUUUAUUACAUGACCUCCUUCCUAAGUGUGUUUAAAGGACAUAAAUAACACAUUGAUAUAUUUAAGAUAUAUUCAGUAAUUAUUCUAGAAUUUUGAAGGGUUUUUAAAAUUUUAAAAUGAUUAAACUAUUUAAUUAUUUCUAUAAGACGAUACAAUUUAUUAUACACUAUAAAGAGAUUAACUCAUUUACUAUUAUUUGGAUUCAAAUAGGAAAAAAUAUGGCUAAAACUCCGAAGUUAGUUUAUGUUCUAAUUCUAUUUCUUUCCAUAAUUUUUAGCAUCAUAGUUUCUAAUUCUUUUCCUGAUAAGAUAUUUAUUGGUGAUUGUAAAACAGAUAAAGAUUGUAAACCAAAACGAGGAGUUAAUUUUAGGUGUCGUAAAGGAAAAUGUUAUCCAAGAUAAAUGAGUUCUUUCUAUAGCAAGAGACUUGUACAAUACUUUAUGUUAGAAAAUUCCACUUGUUGUCAUUUACUUUUUUUUGUGCAUGCUUCAAUAAUUAUUAUUUCUUCUUCUUCUUCUUUUUCUGUUUUUCCCUAAUUUCCUGGACCUUGAAGUUAUGAUUUUGUACUCUAAAAUGAUGGAAAUGAAAUAAUCCCAACUUUAUUUCACAACAAGGAUUGGGAUUUUGGAGAUUUUAAAGACACUUUAUUUGGAGCUAAGGACUGCAGAAUUUGUGGUGGCAUGCCAUCCAAGUCAUAUUUAGACCAUAUUUCAUGAAAUGUUGUCUUUAUUUAAUCUGGUUAUUUGUGCUUUAGCAAUGAGUAGUUAAAUUUCUCGUGAUUAGGUCUAUAAGAUAAUUAUGUUCUAGCUGUUUGAACAAUGAAACUAUAUUUAAUACAAUUGCAAUUCUAGUAUUUAUACAAUAUAACUUAUGUUUAUUGUUUUUUGUAUCUUCAUCACAUUUAAAAUGAACUCAAAGAUCAAUUGACUAUUAACAUUAACUAUUGACUUAGAUCUAGUUACACUAGUCAAAUUAAAUAAACAAGUUGCUUUAGAGAUAUCAACCUGAUAGGUUGUGAUUAAAGAUUAAAAUUCAAUAAAACCUUCGAUGUUAUGGACUCAUCUAAGAGAUUAGUGAGUUUUAAUCUAAGAAGAUGGUUUUAGUCAAAAGAUUGAUUAGAGCUGUUUUUCUUUUUAAUUAUAAUGAAACUAGAAGAACAAUUAUUGGAUUUAGGUGCAGUUUACCAAACAUUGACGAAUAUAGGAUUCAAAAGACAUGAUCAUUUUUUUCUUCUAAAAAUCAUUACCAAUCUAUUUACAUUUUGCUAUUUAUGUUAUGAUUGUUAAACAAACUAUCUGCAUUGUGCAACCCCGCAAUUUUAAAACAUCCGUGUUGAUAAUGUCUCUGCCUAGUAGAAACUAAUGCAUUCCAAGUGGAGAUGAAUUUUAUACUUUAUUGCUUCGAUAAUUUUUAGUACACUUGCUUUGAAAGACUCCUCUCUAAAAAUAUUUCAAAAAUCCAAUUUUAUUCUUCGGUUAUUAUUUAUAAUUGGAAUCAAACUAAAUUGGUCCCUUAACUAUAAAGUGUCUCAAUUUGGUCCCAUAAAUCUUUUGCCGUUUACUAUUUUGGUCAUCUCCGUUAUUAUUUUGCAAAAUCUGUUAACUAUUUUCAUAUGUCAUUUAAGAUUGGUGAUCAACAGUUAAAUUUGAAAAACACACAUGAUAUACCAUUGACUUACGACAUAUGAUAACUAUUAUUCACCUUAACAUCAUCACCCUUUUUGAAACACAAAAAUUCACAAAAUUAGAACCUAUAUCCCUAAUUCAUCUCUUUCUCCAUCAAAUUCAUUUUCUCAAGUUUAAAAAUUGGAUUCAUUUGCCUCCAUUACAACAAGCAACAACACACACUUAUUAUACAUAAAUCACCAUAAUUUUUAAGCAUUGUAUACAACACAGAACCCAGCCAGAGCAACACUAACUCUCCUUCCCUCAUUUUCACCAUGAAACAACCACCACCAACUAAAUCAUCACCGUUCACUCCUCCACUGCCUCCCACACCAACCACCGUCCAUCCAUGUCGUAAGCCCACUGAUUCUUGAUAAUCUCGCUUCGAUUCUUUAUUUGGAAUCUAAAUCUGAAUCUCACGUUUAUAUGAAUGAAUCCGAAUCUGAACACUAUCUAUAAAAGUGUCAAAGAGAAAAGGGUCAAAGAUUGAGAAUAAAAAAAAACAUUAAAAGGGUAACUUUUUUUUUCUGGGAAUGGUGAUAACACAACCUAUAAGAGGGAAGAACAGUGGUGGACGAUGAGGUUGAUUUUAUAGUGAAGAGUGAUGAAAUGAAAAUGGAGCAGUGGAACCAGAAGGAAGAACAGUGGUGGAUAAUAAAUGAAGCAAAAUCAGAAAUCUCACCUUCUUCAACAUCCUCAACUUCUUUCCCAUUUCAAUCAAAUUCUUCAAUUUUCAAAAUCCAAAAACAAUCCAAAAACCAUGAAUAAUGAACCACAUAGAAAAAAAAAAAAAUCACACAACAACAAUACAAACAAAAAACCAUUAAUCGGUUUUGGAUUCAAAAUUGAACAAACAAAUUAGGUUAAUAAAUUAAUAAGUUAAGGUUACAAAUUUUCAAUUUUCGAUAAUGUUACAACGAAAUCCGUUUUUCGCGGUGGCGUAUCGAGUUACUGGUGAUCGGAAUUUUCAGAUCCGAUGAAAAAAAUCGUGAACUUUGAAGAAUGAAAAAUGAAGCGAGAAAAAAUUGAAUACGAUAAGAAAAUUGGAUUAUGCGUCGGGAUUGUUAAUGAUGAAUUUUUGAAAGGACAAAAAUUGGAUUUUUUUUUAAGGUUAUAUGAAGAUGAAUAGGGAAGAAGAUGACAAUAAAAGUUAUCAUAUGUUGUGAGUCCACAGUAUGCCAUGUGUGCUUUAUAAAUCCAACCGUUGAUCAUCAAUCUUAAGUGACACGUGGAAAUGAGUUAACAAAUUUUGCAAAAUACUAACGGAGAUGACCAAAAUAGUAAACGACAUAAGAUUUAUGGAACCAAAUUGAGACACUUUAUAGUUAGGGGACCAAAUUGAAAACUAAAAAGACCAACUUAAAAUUUUUAAAACAUAAGAGAGCAACUUAAAACUUAAAGUAAACAUUAGGGACCAAACAUGAAAUUAAGCCAUAAAUUUAUAUAAUUGGAAAACAAUCCAUACAGAAAAACAACGCAUUUCUAGUGUUUUUUUUUAAUUAAAAUAAAAAUAUAGAUUCGGGAAUUUGCUUUAUUUUGCUAAGUAGUAAUUGGCACAAAAAUGGUCCUCUAUUAAUUCUUCUGGUAACAAACCAAUGCUUUAUGCUCACAAUAUAUUAUAUAGUUGAACUUGAGAAUAAUGCUCUUAUGCGGCCCUAUUCCGUGUGACAUAUGGUCCAGAAAAUAAAUAGACUAAGCAAUAGAUACAACAUCAAAAAUUAUAAAUAUAGAAAGUAAAUUCAAUUCCCGUGAGUCCACUUCUCCAUAAUUAAAUUGUGUGAAUUCUAGCCACUAGGCUACUUGACAAAAAAAAAAGUAAAUUCAUUUUACAUGUGUGAAAUUAAUUUGUAAACUCAUACAAGUUCACCUCAUAUUAAAAUUACAUACGUACAUACCACUACACGAAACUCUCGAUUUGCCUUCGGAUUUUCCUGCGGAAUCAAGUGAUAAAUCCGCAGGAAACAGGUUCCCUGCCGAUUUUGCCAAGGAUUUGCACUUCCAGGUAAUACCUCGUGGGUAAUUGUUUCCUGAGGAUUUUUGAAACAGCAGGAAACUUUCUUACGGAAAAGCCAAUAAUAUCUGCAGGAAAUGUUUGGUCAGAGUGGGAGAGAUUCCCCUGCCCGUCAGUGUUUCCUGCGAACGUUCCGCAUGUAAUUCUCAGGUAAUGCUGCAGCAGAGAUAUUUCCGCAGGUAAUUCCUCAGGAAACUGAACCAAUCCGCAGAAAAAUCCCCAGGAAAUUUAAUGGUUCAUCAGAGCAGUCUGUUUCAUCAGUACAAUUUUUUUGAUUAUUUUCUAUUAAUGAAUGCUAACAACCAUAUUAAAAGUCAUUUUUAAUUAUUAGUUUGAUAUAGAAGUUUAUAUUUUUUUUAAAGAUGACAUAGAAGAUUAUUAGAAACUAUCUCGAGUCAAAUUUGGCACAUAGCAUAUGCGUUUUUUUAAAAACAUGUAAAGAGGUAAAAAAUCCAAAAAUAGCAUACACUCAAAAAAAUGGCAAUAAAAACUUGUUCUUUGUAACAAAAACACUAUUCAUAAAAUACAUCAAGUUUCCAUCAUUAUGAAGCUGCAAAAUAUGCAUAAUAAACAUUUCAACAAACACUAUAAUAUGACAAAAUACUCUUGCAAGACAUAAAAACAUUUCACUUGUAUUAAAACUGCCACAAAAGGGCAUCAGAACUACUUGCAAUAUCUUGAAACAGAAUCAACACUCAUACAAUGGCAUUGGCAGCACUUGCAAUCCUAGGCCAAAGAUCAGCACACUCCUUACCAAUUGGUCCUGUGAUAGCGGAACCUACAAUGGACAACAUGACAUAGAUGUUAAGACCCAAAUCAAAUGAUACCUUUCAUUUCUUCAAAAACCAACAUCACAUAUUAACAAGAGCACAACAACAAAAGCAUAUAAUUAGAAUUGAGACAUUGUAUAAAUCUGAUAAAAUCACAUAUUGAACGAAUAUAAAUCUAAUCUGGCUAAAAGUAUGUUAAAAGUACAGUGAUCGAAUUGAUUGAAAUGAUAUUGGCUAAAAAGAUGUCAAAGGUACAGUCAACUUCAUGAUUCACUAUAAUAAUACCGAGAACAGACAAAGAAAUAGGCCGAAACAUAGAGCAAAUUCUAUAGUUUGGCCAAUUCUUUCAGGUGAAACUCUCUCUCACUACACUAUAUCAAGUACAGUCAAGCUAAUCCGCUCCAUAUCAAAGCAUCAAAAUUUAUCAACAUCUUCGUAUGAUUUGAAAAGUCAUUAAAAAUAUAAUCUUUUACAGGUUUACACGGGAAGAGAUGCAGGUUAAGAUGGAUAAAUUACUUAACGCCUGAUUUGAAAAGAGGAGCAUUCUCACAAUAAGAAGAGAAUUUGAUCAUUGAACUUCAUGCAGUACUUGGCAACAGGUAUUUGUGAUUCUGUUGAGAAACUAUAAUAACUACUUUUCAUAAGUCCUUUUUUAUUUUUUUAUACUAUAGUUUUCGAUUUUAAUCAUGUGAAGGAAUUAAUUGUUGUUGUUUUAUAUCAGAUGGUCUCAGAUUGCAGCACAAUUACCAGGAAGAACUGUCAAUGAUCCAAAAACUCACAAACCACUCUCAGAUGUUGAAAAUGACAAUGAAAAAUCACUCAAGAAGAGGUUGAGACAAAGUGGCAUUGAUCCAAACAGUCACAAACCACUCUCAGAGGUUGAAAAUGACAAUGAAAAAUUACUCACAUCCAACAAAACCAAUCAAAUAUAGGAAUUUCUGAAUAUCCAAAUGCAUCUAUUUGUUUCACACCAACUUCAACUUCUUCACAAAUUAUGUCAGAUACAAAUUCUGUAAACUUCAAAUGCAAGGACAUGCAUUGUUAUAAUGCAAUCAAAGUAAACUCAGUAAACCCAACAGUCAAUUUCCUUAAUAUAUAAAAUCUUAUCAAUAGCAGCAAGAAUGUCCUCUCAUGCUUCUGAUCAAUAGAGUUUAAUAAACCUCAAAGCAUUAUAACAAUGCAUGUCCUUGCAAUCAAAGUAAACUCAGUAGAAAUAUAUAUGUAACUGACCAAUUAAGUUUCAACUUUGCACAUAAUAAUGCCAUGAAUAAUCACAACUUGCUUACAUAAGAUUUUCACAUUUUCACAUUUGCUUACAUAAGACUUUAGAGUCUUCUAUUCGCUUGUUGAGGUGUUUUCUUCAAUGUAAGAUGUAUUGGAACUUUGGAACAAAAUUUCCCCCUCUGUAAAGUCUUUUGAGGCCUAUCAAAUCUUCAUUCUUCAUCUUCCCAAGGACCACAUAAAUCUUCGGAUGUCUUGCUUUGCCUGGUUUGUUUGAUUUCUUCGUGAAUUACAUCAAGAACACCCUAAAAUUGCUAUGUCUCGGGAAGAAUAGAAUUAUAGACUCAAAUAUAGAAAACAAUACAAAUGUUCUGAAAUCAUAGACAAUUGAUCUAAUACUCCUCUGCUUUCUGGUAAAACCUACUAAAAUUGAUAAGAAAACAUGCUAAGAAUAACGUGACAUGAUAUGUUUUUUAAAGGAUGACAAGGUAGUAGAAUUGUAUUCAAUUAUUUUGAUUCUUAUGUCUAUUACAUGACCUCCUUCCUAUGUGUGUGUUUUUUUUUGAGAGAUUCCUAUGUGUGUUAAAGAGACAAAAAUAACACAUUGAUAUAUUUAAGAGACAUUUUGUAACGAUUCUAGAAUUCUGAAGGGUUUUAAAAUUCUAUAAUGCUUAAACUAUUUAAUUAUUUCUAUAAUACCAUGCAAUUUAUUAUACACUAUAAAGAGAUCAACUCAUUUACAAUUAUUUGGAUGAAAUAGGAAAAAAUAUGGUUAAAACUUCGAAGUUUGUUUAUGUUCUAAUUCUAUUUCUUUCCAUAUUUUUUAGCAUCAUAGUUUCUAAUUCUUCUCCCGGUAGGUUAUCUUUUGGUGAUUGUAAAAUAGAUAAAGAUUGUCCAAAACUUCGAGGAGGUAGUUUUAGGUGUCGUAAAGGAAAAUGUGUACUCGAAUGAGAUAAAUGAGUUCUUUCUAUAGCAAGAGACUUGUACAAUACAUUAUGCUAGAAUAUUCCACUUGUUGUCAUUUACAUUUGUUUGCAUGCUCUCAAUAAUUAUUUUUUCUUCUUAUGUUUUUCCAUAAUUUCCUAGACCAUGAAGUUAUGAUUUUGUACUCUAAGAUGAUGGAAAUGAAAUAAUCCCAACUUCAUUUCACAACAACGGUUUCAUGUAAUGUUGUCUUUAUUUAAUCUGAUUAUUUGUGCUUUAGCCAUGAGUAGCUAAAUUUUUCGUGAUUAGGUCUAAUAUGAUUUUGUUAUAACUGUUUGAACAAUCUAAACUGUGAAACUAUAUUAAAUACAAUUGCAAUUUUAGUAUUUAUACAAUAUAACAUAUGUUUAAUGUUUUUUUGUAUCUUGAUCUAAUUUAAAUGAACUUAAAGAUCAAUUGACUAUUAGCACUAACUAUUGAUUUAGAUCUAGUAACACUCUUCAAUUAAAUAAGUUGCUUUAGAGAUAUCAACCGAAUAGGUUUUGAUUAAAGAUUAAUAUUCAAUAAAACCUUCGAUGUUAUGGACUCACCUAAGAGAUUAGUGAGUCGUAAACUAAGAAGAGGGCUCUAGUCAAAAGAUUGAUUAGGGCUUUUUUUUUAAAAAUAUUUAAAAAAAUAGAAGAACAAUUAUUGGGUUUAGGUGCAGUUUACCAAACAUUGACGGAAAUAGGAUUCAAAAGACAUGAUUAAUUUUUUCUUCUAAAAUUCAUGACAAAUCUAUUUACAUUUUGCUAUUUGUGUUAUGAUUGUGAAACAAAAUAUUUGCAUUGUGCAACCCGCAAUUUUAAAACAUCUGUGUUGAUAAUGUCUCUACCUAGUAGAAACCAAUGCAUUCUACGUGUAGAUUUCACAACAACGGUUUUGGAGAUUUUAAAGACACAUUUGGAGCUAAGCAUUGCGGAAUUUGUGGUCGCAUGCCAUCCAAGUCAUAGUUAGACCAUAUUUCAUGUAAUGUUGUCUUUAUUUAAUCUGAUUAUUUGUGCUUUAGCCAUGAGUAGCUAAAUUUUUCGUGAUUAGGUCUAAUAUGAUUUUGUUAUAACUGUUUGAACAAUCUAAACUGUGAAACUAUAUUAAAUACAAUUGCAAUUUUAGUAUUUAUACAAUAUAACAUAUGUUUAAUGUUUUUUUGUAUCUUGAUCUAAUUUAAAUGAACUUAAAGAUCAAUUGACUAUUAGCACUAACUAUUGAUUUAGAUCUAGUAACACUCUUCAAUUAAAUAAGUUGCUUUAGAGAUAUCAAC
rnacentral:lncRNA from 1 species